rnacentral:lncRNA from 1 species
AAAUGGCAACUCAUUGAAAUGGGCAACAGGCUCCGGGCACAGUUGAUAGAAGCAGGACUAGAGGAUUGAACUGCAGUAACCCAGCGCUGUCCAGCCCCUCCCUCAUGAUGACAUCACAGCCUCAGCAGAAAAUCAGCCCAUCACUGGCUGCGUCUACAGCCCAGCCUCCUCUCUCAUUGGACUGCACUUCACAGCCAAACUGUCAGCCCAUGUGGCGUGGCCAUCGAGGAUGUCAGACAUUUAAAUGAAAUAGACACAGGGACUCAGAAGAGCGAGAGUAAUUUCUAGGGCUUGGCCAAAGGGGGGGGGAUCACGAAACCCUUCAGUCUGCACCGGGAGCCGACAAAGAAUUAACGUUAGAGGAAUAAAGAAGUCGACUCUAUCCCAAAGGAUCUGCGUGUAACACCGCGUUAAACUGCACCCACAUCCAGGUAAGCGUACAUCUUAUUAAUCGUGCCAGAUCUGGAUCUGUAGUUUAAAAAGAUGUAGACUGGCGUAGUAAAGGUGAAAUUUCAGGCAUAACAAACAACAACGAGAAUUUUUUUUGUAACAAGCAGGGAAGAGAAAUAAUAACACAAACGAAACGAAUUGUUCUUGUGAGUCGUGUCUUUUCAGUGAAUCACGAAACAGCCUCAGCUUCGACUUUGCAUACAGUAUUUUAUUUUAACCCAAGAUAAGUAAAUUAAUUUAGUUUGUAAUGCGGUGCACGGGAUAAAGAUGUUGGGUAAUUACGUCAUGACGUAAGAUAAUUGCAGAAUCACUUUUGUGGACCUGUUCAAAAGAACCGAUUCGCAAAAUGAGUCCCAAAUUUUCCCAUCACUAAUUUCAACCAUAGACUGUAGAUUUCAACCAUAGACUGUAAAAAAAAUAUUCAACCGAAGAAUUCCUCCUCACUUCUGAAUAAAGGUAACCAGCACUCUUGACCUAAUGUGAGUAAACGUUUAGUUGGCGGAAUGGCGGCUGCAAUGGCAGCAUGGGAUGACAGCAUCUCACGCUAUUUCUGUGUGAUUACACUACGAGGCAUUUUUGCCUAAGAGAAAUAGCAUUAUGCUUUGAAUCUUUCUGUUUAUACACAGAAAAGGUAGCGAAUGGAUAUUAAACCUAACAAUAAUGUAAUACGCUGAGAUGUGGAAAAGUAUCAUGGCGAAUUGUGGAGUCACUGUGGAAUUUGUCACUCUGUGAAACCUCCUUGAGCAAAUUGGAGAUGCUUUUAGGGCAGUUUUUGUUAGCCUAUCCAUAUGAAUAUCAUGUAGUCUAGUUUCUAUUACAGUGUACAUCAUCAUUGACUUGUCAGGGUUUCAGCCUAGUCAUUUAUUAUUUAUAUAUAUAUAUAUAUAUAUAUAUAUAUAUAUAUAUAUAUAUAUAUGUAUAUAUAUGUAUAUAUGUAUAUAUAUAUAUGUAUAUA